rnacentral:tRNA from 1 species
GCCUGGUGGCUUAGUCAGUUAAGCGUCUGACUUCAGCUCAGGUCAUGACCUCACAGUUUGUGGGUUCGAGCCCUGCAUCAGGCU